rnacentral:ncRNA from 1 species
CUAAUGGCGUUGACGGAAAAAGUACUCUCGUAUGGAUCAUUCAGAGAGCCUGUGGAUAGUGCGAACAGGUUGAUUGUAUAAGAGGAAUGGGUUCCUGAGCCUGAUAAGUGAAAGAAGUAGCUUAUCACGCUGCCCGCGUUAUCGGGUUUGAAGUGGCCUUUCGGCAAAUUCGGGUGGUACCGCGGUUGAUAGCAUCAGUCGUCCCUAUU